UACGUAGGGUGCAAGCGUUGUCCGGAAUUAUUGGGCGUAAAGAGCUCGUAGGCGGUCUAUCACGUCGGCUGUGAAAACCCGAGGCUCAACCUCGGGCCUGCAGUCGAUACGGGCAGACUAGAGUUCGGUAGGGGAGACUGGAAUUCCUGGUGUAGCGGUGAAAUGCGCAGAUAUCAGGAGGAACACCGAUGGCGAAGGCAGGUCGUCUGGGCCACUACUGACGCUGAGAAGCGAAAGCAUGGGGAGCGAACAGG
rnacentral:rRNA from 1 species